CUUACAGGUUCUUUGACUCUGAACAUAUAGACAAGUCUCUGUUCCUGGCUCAUUAUGGCUUCAACUUCAAGGUUCUUUGACUCUGCACAUAUAGACAAGUCUCUGUUCCUGGCUCAUCAUGGCUUCAACUUCAAGGUAAGUGCCUUUGAUGAAAGCCUUUAUGAAGGGCCACACCCAGGACAUUUUUAGCUCUUGGUCCUGCUGGCCUCACUAAGCAUAUGGUGUCUAGGAAAGAAAAAGGAGGAAGAGAGAGCAGAAAAGGGAGCUUGAGGAAAGAUGAGGCAAGCAGGGUAGUGUGUGGUAUAGGUGAGGCUUUGUAGCUCCAGGGUCUGCACUGUGUCUGAAAAUGUGAUUUAUUUUUCUCAUCUUAAUUUUUUUAAGAUAUAUAUAUCAGAGAGAGGGAGAGAGAGCACAAGUGGGAGUUAGAGAGAGCGGGAAACACGCUCCAGAUGGAGCACGGAGCCCGAUGUGGGACUCGACCUCAUGACCCUGAGAUCAGGAUCCAAGCUGAAACCAACAGUUGGUCACAUAACUGACUGUGCCAUCCAGGCGCCCCUUCCUCAUCUUUUAAUGCACAAGGUGCUUGCUACUGGACUACCGUGGUCCCUGCAAGCUUUACCAUUCCAUGAGUGUUCUUUCCUUAUUUUUUUUCAAGUUUUUACUUAAAUUCUAGUUAGUUAACAUACACUGUAAUAUUGGUUCAAGACUAGUAUUUAGUGAUUCAUCACUUAUGUAUAACACAUAACAAGUGCCCUCCUCAAUGCCAAUCACCACGCCAAUCCCAUGCCCUGCUUCCCUCCAGCAAGCCUCUUGUUCUCUGUACUAAAGAAUCUCUUAUAGUAUACCUCCCACUCUUUUCCUUCCUUCCCCUAUAUUCGUGUGUUGUUGUUGUUGUUGUUUUAAUUCCACAUAUGAGUGAAAUCAUCCGGUACUUUGUCUGAAUGACUGACUUUGCUCAACGUAUAGAAUACACUCUAGGUCCUUUCUUUGGUGUUAGUAGUGAUCUCUCCUUUCUCUUUCAUGAUUUUUUUAAUUUGAGUGUUUUCUGUCUUCUUUUAAAUAAGGCUGGCUAGUGGUUUAUCUAUCUUAUUAAUUCUUUCAAAGAACCAAACCCUGGUUUUGUUGAUCUGUUCCACAGUUCUUCUGGUCUCUAUUUCAUUGAGUUCUGCUCGAGUCUUUUUUAACCCUUUUCUUCUGCUGGGUGUAGGAUCUAUUUGCUGUCUUUUCUCCAGCUCCCUUAGGUGCAAGGUUAGCUUUUGUAUUUGAGUUCUUUCCAGUUUUUGGAUGGAUGCUUGUAUUGUGAUGCAUUUCCCCCUCAGGCCUGCUUUUGCUGUAUCCCAAAGAUUUUGAAUGGUGGUGUCUUCAGUCUCAUUAGUUUCCAUGAAUCUUUUUAAUUCUUCUCUAAUUUCGUGGUUGACCCUUUCACCUUUUAGCAGGAUGGUCCUUAACCUCCACGUGUUUGAAAUCCUUCCAAACUUCUUCUUGUGAUUUAGUUCUAGUUUCAAAGCAUUAUGGUCUGAAAAUACACAGGGGACGAUCCCAAUCUUUUGGUAUCAGUUAGGACCUGAUGUGUGACCCAGUUUGUGGUCUCUUCUGGAGAAAGCCCCAUGUGCACUUGAGAAGAAUGUGUAUUCAGUUGCGUUUGGAUGUAAAGUUCUGUAAAUAUCUGUGAAAUCCAUCUGGUCCAGGGUAUCAUUUAAAGCUCCUGUUUCUUUGGAGAUGUUGUGCUUGAAAGACCUGUCGAUUGCAGAAAGCGCUACAUUGAAGUCCCCAAGUAGAAGUGUAUUAUUAUCUAAGUAUGUCUUAACUUUGGUUAUUAAUUGAUUGAUCUGCUUGGCGGCUCACGCAUCCGGGCCAUAAAUAUUCAUGAUUGUUAGGUCCUCUUGUUGGAUAGAUCCUUUAAGUAUGAUAUAGUGUCCCUCUUCACCUCUCACUACAGUCUUUGGGAUAAACUUUAAUUUAUCUGAUAUAAGGAUGGCUACCCCUGCUUUUUUUGAGGACCAUUUGAAUGGUACACAGUUCUCCAACCUUUUGUUUUCAGACUGUAGGUGUCCUGAUGUCUAAAAUGAGUCUCUUGGAGACAGCAAAUAGAUGGGCCUUGCUUUUUUUAUCCAGUCUGAAACCCUGCGCCUUUGGAUGGGGUCAUUAAGCCCGUUCACGUUCAGAGUUACUAUUGAAAGAUAUGGAUUUAUGAUACCUGAAUAUGAUACCUAUUCAGUCCCUGUGUUUGUGGAUUGUUUCCUUGGACUUCCUCUUUCUUUUACAGGGUCCCCCUUAAUAUUUCUGGCAGAGCCGGCUUGGUGGUCACAUAUCCUUUCAGUUUCUGCCUAUCUUGGAAGCUCUUUAUGUCUCCUUCUAUUCUGAAUGAGAGCCUUGCUGGAUAAAGUAUUCUUGGCUGCAGGUUCCUCUCAUUUAGGACCCUGACUAUAUCCUGCCGGCCCUUUCUUGCCUCCCAGGUCUCUGUUGAGAGAGGUCUGCUGUUGUCCUAAUGCUUCUCCCCAAAAAGUUAGUGAUUUCUUGUCUCUUGCUGCUUUAAGGAUCUUCUCUUUAUCUUUGGAAUUUGCAAGUUUCAGUAUUAAAUUCAAUGUUAAAUGUUGAGCGGUCUUUAUGGAUUUUUGGCGGGGGGGGGGGGAUCUCUCUGUCUCCUGGAUCUAAAUGCCUGUUUCCCUUCCCAAGUUAGGGAAUUUCUCAGCUAUGACUUGUUCAAAUACAUAAUCUGGACCUCUGUCCCUUUUGGCGCCCUCGGGAACCCCAAUUAAACGUAGAUUUUUCCUUCUGAGGCUGUCAUUUAUUUCCCUUAACCUAUCCUCAUGGUCUCUUGAUUGUCUUUCUUUUCUUCCCUCAGUUUCUGCCCUUGCCAUCAACUUGUGUUCUGUGUCACUCACUCGUUCUUCUACCUCGUUAAUCCUGGUUGUUAGGACCUCCAGUUUAGAUUGCAUCUCAUUUAACUGAUUUUUAAUUUUGGCCUGAUUACAUCUAAAUUCUGCAGUCAUGAAGUCUCUUGAGUCCUUUAUGCUUUUUUCUAGAGCCACCAGUAGCUUUAUAACUGUGCUUCUGAAUUGGCUCUCUGACAUUGAAUUGUAAUCCAAAUGUUGUAACUCUGUGGGAGAGAGGACGGUUUCUGAUUUCUUU